rnacentral:lncRNA from 1 species
UAUAAUUUAUUUUAAAAUUGGAAACAAGAAAUUCGCUAGAUAGAUUUACAAGCGAAGUGCGUUUCAUUUUGUGAUGCUUGAAAUCGAAAUCAAGAUGAUAAAAUUAUAUGCUUUUGGGUACACAAUGUCUGUAGUGACCGUGCUUCCUCGUUGCCAAGCUGCGCCUCAGAGAUCUUAGUCUAUGCCAGGUAUCAAAAUCUUGUUGUAAAUCUUGCUGUGGUGUGACAUGUAAGGCUGACAUUGACAAUAAGUGCUUUUUGGUGAUUUUGCUUAAUGGGUUUGUGAAGAUUUAGUCUUUAUUUGCUGGGUCUCCUUUUAUUUUGUACUUACUCACACACACUGUAUAUUUAUAUGCUUCUUGUAUGUGUAUGUGUUGCAAUGAUAUCGUUUUUGCCUUGGUAUGUUUUUGGGUUUCAAUUUGUUCCCUGGGAUUUUGGGGUUGAUUAUCAACAGUGGUUAAUAGUAAAUGAUAGGUUUGGAAAGAAUGAGAUCAGUAAUUGUCAAAUAUAAGUAAGGGGAUGGUUUGUAAACAAUUGUUUGCAAAUAAAAGUGAGUGCUUCUGGAAUUUAAGUAUAAGCACACGAAUUAUAAACAUACUUGAAGAUUUUCAUGUUUCGAAGAAACAAUUGGAUCAUAUAAAGUAUCAAUGGAGCUUUUAUUGGUAGAUGCAAAAUUGACUGAAAAGUAGAACACCUUCUUAAUGUUGAUCUUGUAUGUCUUGAACAGUCACCAACAUUCACCGACAAAUCAUUUUCUAUGUUUGAUUAUUUCUUUCUUGUUGCAGAAUGAGCUUCCUAUUUUGGAGGUCACAUACUUGUUAGUUGAAACCGUGGAGUGUGGAUUUGGAAUUAUGGUAAAAUCUCUCAUGGUAUAGAUGAAUAAAUUUCAGGUGCAUCUUGAAAAUACAGAGCUAGUUGAUUUUGUUUCGGGUCCGUACUGUUUUGCAAUUUUAAGAAAGUUGAUUCAGUUUCUUGUUAAAUUACUUAAUAUGUAGUGUGAGCUGGACAUCACGUUCCAUUUGGAGAGGCCCGUUUUAUAGUGCAGGAGAAGGUCAUGGAUGGGUGUAUGGCAGAGCCAAGCAAGUCAACCAUUCUGACACCCCAAUAAAACUGAUGGAGAAAACAUCUUGAAAUAGUUGUAAGGGCUCCAGGGUUUUGUGAGAGAUUCAUAACAGGUUGGCCACUGGUUUAUGUUGGUUGGAUCCUAUUGUACAAUUAUUUUUAAACAUCAUGAAAAUCCUGUAGUUUCAUUCAUAAAUGAAAUAUUUUACUACUGUAUUGUAUUGAUUCAUUUUUGACUUAAUUCAGAACCGAAUCAAAUUCGUUUGUAGUUCUUUAGAAUUUGGGUUUUACUGACAUCUAUGAGACAAUGCAAACAUAAUCUGGUUUUCUGGUGUGCUUAACUUUUUGGAAUUUGAGAAUCGGGACCUUGGUUUCUUUGAGAGCAAAGAGCAUGAAGUCCAAAUGGCUUCCUUGUGAUUCAUCAAAAUUAGUGUUGUCAGUUAAUGACCUGGGAGUUAAAAAUCUAAAUGGAGUAAAGCCAGCCCGAAGUUAGGUUUUGGUCACUAGCUAUAACAAUUCUUGGACAGGAUGAUUGUGAUAUAAGUAGAGUAAUCAAGAAAAAGAAAGACCAUAGUUUAAAGGAUUAGUGGGUACAAACUCGAAUCUGAGAAGGUUGUUGUAAAAGUUAUUUCAUUGCUUUAUUUGUAUCUACCUUGGUGGUAUAAGGAGUGACUGAUAAUCUUUGUUGUGUAAUUGUAAAUUGGUACAGAAAAUGGUAACUUAAGAUACAGAGUAUCAGAGAUGAUCCCCAAAGAAUUGAGGUUAUGACAGUAAAGAACUCAGAAUUACAUUGAUGUACUUGUUUUUAUGUCAUAAAAUAUGAAAAUAUUCUAGGUGUUAGUAGCACAUUAUUCACAUAUCAUAUUUAUAAGAACAACUUGCUUUUUGUACAACUAGCAUUAACAUGUUAUGUCUCUUUUGCAUGGCCUAAGAUAAGAUAUUGAAGAAUACUGCUCUAUACUGGAAGCUCUGUGGCAAAUUAAUUCUAUACAUCCAAUGAAAUUGAAAUUUUUUUUGUUCUUAUGCUAUUUUUAAGUUUGAAUUAUCUUUAUGUUUCUCAAAAUUACUGUAUUUUUCUCAUUUAUAGAAAGAAACUUGUAUGACUUUGAAUGUUUGUAGGUGAACAUAAUUGGAUGAGGCUGCUGUCCUGUUUUACGCCUACCCAAAUUCAGUCUGAUUUCAGGACUAGACUGAGUGUGGCUGCAAGCCAAUGCUGGAGUUUCUGCUUUCAACAGAGCUGUGAGUUUGUCCAUGCUUUUUCUGUGUCAUCUUUCUUAUUAUAUAAACCUGCAAUAUCUGCUAUUUUUGGGUUAAGCAUCUAGAGCUCAUCGAACUUAAAUCUGCCUUUUCCGAGUGUCUUUGCUCUAUUUCUUCACCACUUGCCUUAUUGUAUAUCUGUUAUCUAGUUUGGUUCUGAUCUUGAUGCUGAAAAAAUUCAGAUGCUCUUUGUUGAAAAUUAAUAAUCUAAAUUCUCUACAUGUUUUUGUGAUGACAUGCUUAUGGAUUUUGUGACACAAUUGCGUGGACUCCUCUUUUUCCGUUUGUGUGAAAGUUAGAUAGAGAUUUAGUCUAGUGUGUCAAGUUUUGAGUUUAUAAAUACUAAUGCAGAAAGAAAACCUUUUUGUUUAACUGUUUCUUGGUUCUCAGCUUGGAGGACAAUCUUAAGUAAAAGGUAUUAUACGUAUAAAUAUUUUUAGAAGCAUCCGAAAAAUUUUGUUGACCAAUUGAGUAGAUUUAAAAAAAUAGCAGUAGAUGCUGCAACAGGAGCUGUACCGUACAUCCGCCUUGGCCGUACAGCAGAAUUAAUUCUAUACAUCCAAUGAAAUUGAAAUUUUUUUUGUUCUUAUGCUAUUUUUAAGUUUGAAUUAUCUUUAUGUUUCUCAAAAUUACUGUAUUUUUCUCAUUUAUAGAAAGAAACUUGUAUGACUUUGAAUGUUUGUAGGUGAACAUAAUUGGAUGAGGCUGCUGUCCUGUUUUACGCCUACCCAAAUUCAGUCUGAUUUCAGGACUAGACUGAGUGUGGCUGCAAGCCAAUGCUGGAGUUUCUGCUUUCAACAGAGCUGUGAGUUUGUCCAUGCUUUUUCUGUGUCAUCUUUCUUAUUAUAUAAACCUGCAAUAUCUGCUAUUUUUGGGUUAAGCAUCUAGAGCUCAUCGAACUUAAAUCUGCCUUUUCCGAGUGUCUUUGCUCUAUUUCUUCACCACUUGCCUUAUUGUAUAUCUGUUAUCUAGUUUGGUUCUGAUCUUGAUGCUGAAAAAAUUCAGAUGCUCUUUGUUGAAAAUUAAUAAUCUAAAUUCUCUACAUGUUUUUGUGAUGACAUGCUUAUGGAUUUUGUGACACAAUUGCGUGGACUCCUCUUUUUCCGUUUGUGUGAAAGUUAGAUAGAGAUUUAGUCUAGUGUGUCAAGUUUUGAGUUUAUAAAUACUAAUGCAGAAAGAAAACCUUUUUGUUUAACUGUUUCUUGGUUCUCAGCUUGGAGGACAAUCUUAAGUAAAAGGUAUUAUACGUAUAAAUAUUUUUAGAAGCAUCCGAAAAAUUUUGUUGACCAAUUGAGUAGAUUUAAAAAAAUAGCAGUAGAUGCUGCAACAGGAGCUUAAUAUGCAAUAGCAAUCCAAUCCAAAGGCUUCAUUGACUUUCUGCUUGCUCUGUGGCUUUUGAUUAUUUCCAAUACCUAUAAGAGUACAAACUAGAUUCAUAAUUCCAGCAACCCCUUAAAUCAGAAAAUACAGAAGAGAUAAUUUUAGAAGAAUGGAAAAGGUGAAAAGAUGAGAGAUGAGAGAUGAUAGAAGAAAGAUGGUUUCUGUUGAAGUAUGUGAAUAGAGAGAUUAGAUACAAUUCUGAUCCUUCAACAACUUACAUGCCUUUUAAGUCUUUAAUGAAAUGGCCAGUAAUCGUCUUCUUGAUAAAUAUAUUUACCAGCAUACUUUUGUUGAUGUAUUCAGUUAAAAAGGCAUAUAUUCUGUGGUAUAAAAAUCAUAACAUUAUCUAUUUAAGAUAUGAUGAUGCCAUAUUCAAAUUGGAUGAGGCUGUUGUCCUGGAUUAACACAUUAUUUUUCUUAUGCGACUUUAAGAAGUGAUUGGUGUGGCUGCAAGUGUAUAUUGCAGAGAAGGAUAAGUUUCUCCCUUAUUUUCAAUACAAUUAACUAAUAUAGAAAUACUUAAUUAGUAACUUAUCAAUUCAGAGGACCCUUUUGUCAUGAUCAGUUUGCAAAACAGUCAGAGGGUUGAAAUUGAAUUACUAAGGUGGUAAUGCAUGCACAAGAAAGAUCAACAAUUCAUUCAAGUCAAUAGUCUUGAGUCAACAACAGAGUCUUCAGUCGAAUCAAUAGUCGUCUCAAGAAAAUGAAGUGGUGUUAAGUUUCAUUAUAAUGUAAAUUAACAAGAAGUGGUGUUAAGUUACAUUAUAGUGUAAAUUAACAAGGUCUCUGAAAAUGAUAUUUUAGUUAUCAUUAGUAUUGACGAUAUAUUGUCAAGUCUUGCCUUUCAUGGUUUAUAUUCUGCACAGAAGUAGCUAAACCUUGUCCUCAACAAGUCUUUGCUCAGGUCAAUAUGCCUUUGGAAAAAGAAAUUUCUUAAUAGUCUUUUUAAAUGGUUGUUAAAAAAUAGAAGUUUUUUAUAGAAUUUUUAGAGAAAUAAAAUAAACUUCAUUCUUAGACUCAGUUUGGGGUUGUUGCAUGCUGCUUAUAAAGUUAUUCACUUUUAUUGGGCUGAUGAGAUAGUAAAGGACGAACCAGAAGUUUAGUUUAUAGGGACAAUUUAAUAAUGUAUUAAAUUUAAGGGAUUGUAACUUCAACUCAUUCAGUUAUUUCAAGUUAGUUCAUAGUGAUAGAGAUUUAAAUAAUGAAUGUAAUUUACAGGCUGUCUUAAUCAAGUGAAGGCAACUGCCCCCACUUGCCUAAUGCUAGCUCCAUCCUUGGAAAUAUUCAAUUAGACAAAAAUGAAGUGAGGUACAUGUCUGGUAAACUAUAAGCAUUAUCAAUUUAGCUCCCCAAGCUUUGUUGCAAUUUGGCAAUAUUAUUCACCACUGCUGUGUGCUGUCAGUGUCACACAUGGAGUUAGUCUUGUGCAACUGGGGGCAGUUGCGACAGUUGAUUAGAGAAAAGCUCUUAAAAUUGCAUCCAUUAUUUAAGUUUACGCCCCCAUGAACUUAAUUGAAGUGCUGUCACCAACUAUAUAUUCCACUUCUAUUUCUUCCCUUGAUUCUUGUAUUAAAGAUUCCUACCAAACUUACCAAAAUAGAGAGUAACGAUGAGAUAAUAUAUAGAAGAAGAGUAUGGAGAAUGGAGGGUGCGAAGAAUUAGAAUAUAGAUAAUCCACCUGGGAUAUUUUGAAAAUAAAGCAGGAUGGUGGUGGAGUCUACUGCCUAAUUCUGCCAAAAUCCCAUUUUUGGUUGGUUGGGAUGCCCAAGGGAACCAUACAAUUGCCAUAUCCUCAUGUACUUGUCUCUUUAACUCUUUAAGAGCAUGUUUAUAAUGGGAAUCUCCUUUUCCUGUGUCAUGGAGGUGUUUCAAUUCAGCUCAUAGGAACAGAAACUUUAAUAAUGAAUGCAAUUUAUGGGCUGUUUUGUGAAAUAAUCAAUUAGACAAGAAUGUAGUCAGGUACAUAUUUGGUAAACUAUAAGUAUUAACAAUUUGGCAAUCUAAGUCAAGCUUAUGCCCCCAUAAAACUGAAUCGAAAUGCUCUCACAAUUUAUAUCUUCCACUUGCAUUCCUUUAUCAUUUCUUAUUUCUUCCCUUGAUUCUUGUACAUUGUAUUAAAGAUUCCUACCAAACUUACCGAAACAGAGUGCAAUGAUGAGAAACGCUGAAAUUGACCAUGGCUGUGAAAAUGCAAUGCAUUAUUAAUGGACUUUAGUAGUAACACGUUAGCUAGAAUCAGCUGGGACUUGAAUGUGAUGGUUUGUGGUGAUACGUUGGUAAAAUUGAUAAAAAAAUAGGAUAGAAAAGCCUUGUGUAAUAUUCAAUGAUAUUACAGGGUCUUCAUUCAAGUCAGUAGUCUUCUAUUUCUUUGAUAGUCAUCAUUACAUGUCAUCUUCGUGGAAAUUUAAUCAAUAACUGGUUCGACUACAGUAAGCGCAAUUUCUUGUAAAGUUCGAUCUCUUUGUUCACAUUUUAGUACCAAUGAUCUGGAAUCAUACGAACCUACCCCUACUUUGUUAAUAAGAUUAUUCUAGUUUAAAUAUCAAUUAAUUUUACCAUCCAUUUAGUAAUUUUAUUAGUCACCAACUCUUUAAUUUAAUAUAAAUUUUUUUGUCUUUUGUUAUUUAUUAUCAUCCACUUUGCCGGAAUCAAAUAGUGCUUGAUGGGUUUUCGGUGCUCCAGGACCAUUGUUCCUUAAUUAUAUUCACUACUUUAUAAGAUUAUGAUUGAUUAAAGGAUACACGUGACAAGUGAUAAAUAAAAAAAGAACGGUACUCCAAAAACAUCCAAGACUUUUCUAAUGGCUAAUUUGGCUUUACUUUCUUCUACCGAAUAAUGAGACAUUAAUAGAUUUCCAAGAUACAAAUUCUCUACGGAUGCACAAUAGUUAUUUUAAUUUUUCGUAGUUGUGUUGUGUGUUUUAGCUUUAUACUUAUGUUUACUAUGUCGCUUUGAAUAUUGUUUAGCUAGAUCUCUAUUGUUCUUAUUGAAGUUUAUUCCGUUUGCGGGAUCAAUUAAUAUAAAGGAAAUAAAAAGGAGUUUAUCUUAAUAAUCGGUUAAUAGUAAUGGAGAGGUGUAAUACAUGCAAAAUUCUGAGAUAUUUUUUAUUUGCCAAAUAAAAGUUAAAUUUAUUCACCCAAUGAAAAGCAAAAAGGCUAGCAUUGAUCAAUAGCAGAACAGAAUUUGACGAUCUUUAUUGCUAUAAUGGGUUAAUAGUAUAAUUAAACUCUAACCAAAGUAUAUAGACGCAUAGAUCAACGAUGGUCUAAAGAGAACCACAUACAAGUUUCUUUAAAGCCUACACUCAACAUACAAUGUGCAGCGUAUGAGAGCACAUUUUAAUUUUAGAAAGAUUCCUAAUAUCAAAUGAGCACUCUGAAUAAUAAACGACAUAAUGCGAGCCGUCCUCCCAGAGAGACCCUGCUAAAAAGACGGUGAUUAAUUGGAAAAAAAAAAUUAUGAACAAGUGUUUAGAGGAACAAAAGCUUGCAAGAGGAAAGACCAAAAUUUAAGGAUGAAGAAAUUAAAAGCAUGUGAGCCGAUUACGAUGACUGAAACACAAUUGAAAUUAAGGAGUAUUACCGUUUAAUUAGCUCCUGAACUUUCUUUGCAGUGUUGCAAUAUUCACAGCUGCUGUCACAUAGAGCGAAUCUUUCAUACCAUUCCAGAAGUUGAUUCAGCAUUAAAGUUCCACAGACUCCCAGAAUCCAACACAGAAACCAAGAAUCAAGCUCAUGUAAAAUCCGAG